UAACACGUGGGUAACCUGCCUUAUAGUGGGGGAUAGCCUUUCGAAAGGAAAAUUAAUACCGCAUAAGAUUGUAGUAUCGCAUGAUAUAGCAAUUAAAGGAGCAAUUCGCUAUAAGAUGGACCCGCGUCGCAUUAGCUAGUUGGUGAGGUAAUGGCUCACCAAGGCGACGAUGCGUAGCCGACCUGAGAGGGUGAUCGGCCACAUUGGGACUGAGACACGGCCCAGACUCCUACGGGAGGCAGCAUG
rnacentral:rRNA from 1 species